AGCGAACGCUGGCGGCAGGCCUAACACAUGCAAGUCGAACGGAUCCUUCGGGAUUAGUGGCGGACGGGUGAGUAACACGUGGGAACGUGCCCUUUGGUUCGGAACAACUCAGGGAAACUUGAGCUAAUACCGGAUAAGCCUUUCGAGGGAAAGAUUUAUCGCCAUUGGAGCGGCCCGCGUAGGAUUAGCUAGUUGGUGGGGUAAAGGCCCACCAAGGCUACGAUCCUUAGCUGGUCUGAGAGGAUGAUCAGCCACAUUGGGACUGAGACACGGCCCAAACUCCUACGGGAGGCAGCAGUGGGGUAUAUUGGACAAUGGGCGAAAGCCUGAUCCAGCAAUGCCGCGUGAGUGAUGAAGGCCUUAGGGUCGUAAAGCUCUUUUACCAGGGAUGAUAAUGACAGUACCUGGAGAAUAAGCUCCGGCUAACUCCGUGCCAGCAGCCGCGGUAAUACGGAGGGAGCUAGCGUUGUUCGGAAUUACUGGGCGUAAAGCGUACGUAGGCGGUUAUUCAAGUCAGAGGUGAAAGCCCGGGGCUCAACCCCGGAACGGCCUUUGAAACUAGGUAGCUAGAAUCUUGGAGAGGUCAGUGGAAUUCCGAGUGUAGAGGUGAAAUUCGUAGAUAUUCGGAAGAACACCAGUGGCGAAGGCGACUGACUGGACAAGUAUUUACGCUGAGGUACGAAAGCGUGGGGAGCAAACAGGAUUAGAUACCCUGGUAGUCCACGCCGUAAACGAUGAUAACUAGCUGUCCGGGCACUUGGUGCCUGGGUGGCGCAGCUAACGCAUUAAGUUAUCCGCCUGGGGAGUACGGUCGCAAGAUUAAA
rnacentral:rRNA from 1 species